UACGGAGGGGGCAAGCGUUGUCCGGAAUCAUUGGCGUAAAGCGCGUGUAGGCGGCUCGAUAAGUCUGCUGUGAAAGUCCAGGGCUCAACCCUGGAAUGCCGGUGGAAACUGUCGGGCUAGAGUCCGGAAGAGGCGAGUGGAAUUCCUGGUGUAGCGGUGAAAUGCGCAGAUAUCAGGAGGAACACCAAUGGCGAAGGCAGCUCGCUGGGACGGUACUGACGCGUGAGACGCGAAAGCGUGGGGAGCAAACAGG
rnacentral:rRNA from 1 species